UUCACAUGUCAUUUUGAUCAAGAAAUCAUCAAGGAUUUGGAGUUUGUUUGUCUUGGAAACCCUAAUUCAUCUGGGUAUCUUAUGUGACUUCUCUGUAAUACCCCAAAAUUUACCCUUCACUUUUCCUGGAAAAAAAAACGAAAAAAAAACGAAAAAAAAAGAAAAAAAAAGAAGUUAAAAAUAAAUAAAUAAAUAAAAUUAAUUAAAUAAAUAAAUAAAAUAUAACAAACUUUUUU
rnacentral:lncRNA from 1 species